AAUCAACGCUGGCGGCGUGCCUCAGACAUGCAAGUCGAACGAUUAAAGCUCUCUUCGGAGAGUGCAUAGAGUGGCGCACGGGUGAGUAACACGUAAGUAAUCUACCUUCGAGUGGGGAAUAACGUCCGGAAACAGACGCUAAUACCGCAUAAUGCAGCGGCAUCGCAAGAUGACAGUUGUUAAAGAUUUAUCGCUUGAAGAGGAGCUUGCGGCAGAUUAGCUAGUUGGUAAGGUAAUGGCUUACCAAUGCUACGAUCCGUAACCGGUCUUGGACGACGGUCGGUCACACUGACACUGAAUAACGGGUCAGACUCCUACGGGAGGCAGCAGUCGGGAAUUUUGGGCAAUGGGCGAAAGCCUGACCCAGCAACGCCGCGUGAAGGAUGAAGUAUUUCGGUAUGUAGACUUCGAAAGAAUGGGAAGAAUAAAUGACGGUACCAUUUAUAAGGUCCGGCUAACUACGUGCCAGCAGCCGCCGCGGUAA
rnacentral:rRNA from 1 species